rnacentral:rRNA from 1 species
UACGUAGGCGGAAAAUUAAGUCAGUGGUGAAAUCCUGCAGCUUAACUGUAGAACUGUCAUUGAUACUGGUUUUCUUGAAUACAGUUGAGGUAGGCGGAAUGUGUAAUGUAGCGGUGAAAUGCUUAGAUAUUACACAGAACACCGAUUGCGAAGGCAGCUUACUAAACGGUUAUUGACGCUGAGGUACGAAAGCGUGGGGGGCGAACAGGAUUAGAUACCCUGGUAGUCC